rnacentral:rRNA from 1 species
AUUGAACGCUGGCGGCAGGCUUAACACAUGCAAGUCGAGCGGGGGAAGGUAGCUUGCUACCGGACCUAGCGGCGGACGGGUGAGUAAUGCUUAGGGAUCUGCCUAUUAGUGGGGGACAACAUCUCGAAAGGGAUGCUAAUACCGCAUACGUCCUACGGGAGAAAGCAGGGGAUCUUCGGACCUUGCGCUAAUAGAUGAGCCUAAGUCGGAUUAGCUAGUUGGUGGGGUAAAGGCCUACCAAGGCGACGAUCUGUAGCGGGUCUGAGAGGAUGAUCCGCCACACGGGGACUGAGACACGGGCCAGACUCCGACGGGAGGCAGCAGUGGGGAAUAUUGGACAAUGGGGGGAACCCUGAUCCAGCCAUGCCGCGUGUGUGAAGAAGGCCUUAUGGUUGUAAAGCACUUUUAGCGUGGAGGAAAGGGUGGCAGCUAAUACCUGUCAUCUGUGACGUUACUCGCAGAAGAAGCACCGGCUAACUCCGUGCCAGCAGCAGCCGCCG